rnacentral:rRNA from 1 species
AUGGAGCUCAAUGUUCACCUUCGUGAUACUGAUGGUGACCCCUUGUCUGAUCCGACACGUUAUCGUCAUCUUGUUGGGAGUUUUGUCUAUCUAGCCGUCACUCGUCCGGAUAUCUCUUUUCCAGUCCAUAUUUUGAGCCAGUUUGUCUCUACUCCCACUUCGGUUCACUAUAGUCAUCUUCUUCGUGUUCUCCGAUAUCUUCGUGGCACGAUCUCUCACCGUCUGUUCUUUCCUCGCUCCGGUUCAUUACAGCUUCAGGCCUUUUCGGAUGCUACGUGGGGUAGUGAUCCUUCGGAUCAUCGUUCACUUUCUGCUUACUGUGUUUUCCUUGGUGGUUUUCUCAUUGCUUGGAAGAGGAAGAAACAGACCGCAAUUUCCCAUUCGAGUGCAUAG